rnacentral:rRNA from 1 species
GUCUAUACAUGCAGUCGAGCGAAUGGAUUAAGAGCUUGCUCUUAUGAAGUUAGCGGCGGACGGGUGAGUAACACGUGGGUAACCUGCCCAUAAGACUGGGAUAACUCCGGGAAACCGGGGCUAAUACCGGAUAACAUUUUGAACUGCAUGGUUCGAAAUUGAAAGGCGGCUUCGGCUGUCACUUAUGGAUGGACCCGCGUCGCAUUAGCUAGUUGGUGAGGUAACGGCUCACCAAGGCAACGAUGCGUAGCCGACCUGAGAGGGUGAUCGGCCACACUGGGACUGAGACACGGCCCAGACUCCUACGGGAGGCAGCAGUAGGGAAUCUUCCGCAAUGGACGAAAGUCUGACGGAGCAACGCCGCGUGAGUGAUGAAGGCUUUCGGGUCGUAAAACUCUGUUGUUAGGGAAGAACAAGUGCUAGUUGAAUAAGCUGGCACCUUGACGGUACCUAACCAGAAAGCCACGGCUAACUACGUGCCAGCAGCCGCGGUAAUACGUAGGUGGCAAGCGUUAUCCGGAAUUAUUGGGCGUAAAGCGCGCGCAGGUGGUUUCUUAAGUCUGAUGUGAAAGCCCACGGCUCAACCGUGGAGGGUCAUUGGAAACUGGGAGACUUGAGUGCAGAAGAGGAAAGUGGAAUUCCAUGUGUAGCGGUGAAAUGCGUAGAGAUA